rnacentral:piRNA from 1 species
UGGACUGGUGUAGGAAUUUCCUAGUGUAUUC